rnacentral:rRNA from 1 species
AGCGAACGCUGGCGGCAGGCCUAACACAUGCAAGUCGAGCGGCCGUAGCAAUACGGCAGCGGCAGACGGGAGAGUAACACGUGGGAACGCGCCCUUCGGUUCGGGAUAACUCAGGGAAACUUGGGCUAAUACCGGAUACGCCCUUACGGGGAAAGAUUUAUUGCCGAAGGAACGGCCCGCGUCCGAUUAGCUUGUUGGUGAGGUAACGGCUCACCAAGGCGACGAUCGGUAGCUGGUAUGAGAGGAUGACCAACCGCACUGGGACUGAGGCACGGCCCAGACUCCUACGGGAGGCAGCAGUGGGGAAUAUUGGACAAUGGGCGCAAGCCUGAUCCAGCCAUGCCGCGUGGGUGAUGAAGGCCCUAGGGUUGUAAAGCCCUUUCAGCGGGGAAGACAAUGACGGUACCCGCAGAAGAAGCCCCGGCUAACUUCGUGCCAGCAGCCGCCGUAAUAC